ACGGCUCCUAGCUGUUGCCCCAUACUAUAUGGCUGUGAACACUGUUAGAAUUCAGCAGCAAAUUUAGGAGAAAACAAGGAACCGAAAAAUAAAACCUCAUACGUUUAGCAGGACAAUACAUUUGCAGAACAAUUGAUGGCACUAUUGAAGAGGACAUGAGAUGUUUGUGAGUUACAAAGAACCUUUGUAGAAGAGCAGUUAAAUUAGCAAAGCCUGAACUUACCUGAAAAGUGUCCAUUCUGCUGCCCAUUGACUUUAAAACAACAAACUGCAAGUGCAAGGGGAAGACAAGAGCUAGAAUUGGAGAAGUUUUUUAUGGCAAGACCCAGCAUUAGAUCAUCAUAUCGCGAACCACAUAUAUCCUACAUGACAGCAAAUUGUUUGUUUCUUAAUAAAAAUUAAGGAAAUUCUAUUGUAAUUUACAAUAUCAAAUUGAAGAAUGUAAAGGUCUGGGUAGUGCACAUUGACUAAAAAAAUCCGAGAUAAGAGAAAACGAGAGGAGGGGUGUUGAAAGCAUCGUUGACAAAGUAUUACAAAUGAAACACCUUUGCAAACAGCAGUUACGGUAUGCCACGAACGCCAGGUGGAGGGAGACAGGAUUAUAUAAAUCCACAUACCGAUCAUGUCUAAGAAUGGUGGACAACUGGUAAAAUCAGUCACGUUUUACAAUACAUUAAUGCUAAAAAAAACUAUUUUCAGCAAUUAUGGGUUCAAAUAGUAUCAUUGUACAGCACAAAUUCUGUUAGUCCUAGCAAAUGAAAGCUGAGAAUCUAAUUAGAAGUGAAUUAAUUUAUAAUCUGCAGAGGCAAUAGAAGAAUAUAUCAUUUUUUAUAAAGUGAAAGAACAUUGUCAACCUCUAACCACAAUGAAUUUAUCAUAAAUAAGAAAGAUGAGAAUGCAUGAGAAAGGACACUAACAAACCAUGAUAUAGUAUUGUUUAUCCAACCUUGCUUCAGUUAUGGUGCGUUACCUGAGAGAGAGAAUCUCAUGAAGUUGAACCCGUUU
rnacentral:lncRNA from 1 species